ACCUCACAAGGGCAAACCCGCCGAAAGGCGGGGACGCAAAGUCACCGGUCUAAAAGGCUAGCGCCUCACGACAGCGGGAUUGCAAGG
rnacentral:ncRNA from 1 species